AUUGAACGCUGGCGGCAUGCCUUACACAUGCAAGUCGAACGGCAGCGCGGACUUCGGUCUGGCGGCGAGUGGCGAACGGGUGAGUAAUGUAUCGGAACGUACCAUUCAGUGGGGGAUAACGCAGCGAAAGUUGCGCUAAUACCGCAUAUUCUGUGCGCAGGAAAGCAGGGGAUCGCAAGACCUUGCGCUGAUUGAGCGGCCGAUAUCAGAUUAGCUAGUUGGUGAGGUAAAGGCUCACCAAGGCGACGAUCUGUAGCGGGUCUGAGAGGAUGAUCCGCCACACUGGAACUGAGACACAGUCCAGACUCCUACGGGAGGCAGCAGUGGGGAAUUUUGGACAAUGGGCGCAAGCCUGAUCCAGCCAUGCCGCGUGAGUGAAGAAGGCCUCGGUGU
rnacentral:rRNA from 1 species